AUUGAACGCUGGCGGCAGGCUUAACACAUGCAAGUCGAGCGCGAAAGCCUUUCGGGGUGAGUAGAGCGGCGGACGGGUGAGUAACGCGUAGGAAUCUACCUGGUAGUGGGGGACAACUUGGGGAAACUCAAGCUAAUACCGCAUACGCCCUAAGGGGGAAAGUGGGGGAUCUUCGGACCUCACGCUAUCGGAUGAGCCUGCGUAGGAUUAGCUAGUUGGUGAGGUAAAGGCUCACCAAGGCGACGAUCCUUAGCUGGUCUGAGAGGAUGAUCAGCCACACUGGGACUGAGACACGGCCCAGACUCCUACGGGAGGCAGCAGUGGGGAAUAUUGCGCAAUGGGCGAAAGCCUGACGCAGCCAUGCCGCGUGUGUGAAGAAGGCCUUAGGGUUGUAAAGCACUUUCAAUUGGGAAGAAAAGUUUGAGGUUAAUAGCCUCAAGCCCUGACAUUACCUUUAGAAGAAGCA
rnacentral:rRNA from 1 species